AUGGCAAAGUGGAAAGCGCAGUUAUCCUGGAGUGGGAGGGAGGAGGAGCGUGGAGCCUUGGAGGGUCAACACCCAAUUCGGUUGCUUUCCACCGACAGCGCCUCUCCCCUGAAUCACAUGGAGGAGGAAGGACGUGUCUGUUUGGAGCCAAAGGGGAAGAUGCCGCCAGAAAGCAGAUCCCCCACCCCACACCUGCAGCCCUGUGCCCUCCAGAGGUGGUGGGGUCAGCUGCAGCUGCCCACGUACAGCGCCGUCACCUGGGCACUCGCCUGGCCUGUGGGCAAUGGGGGGGGGGGCAGAGGGUGGGAGUGGGAUGCCAGCAUCCCCAGCAACCUUCCUGAGCCUCUCCUAGGUCCCCGAUGGGUACCCCAGCUGUGCCGUCCAACCAUCCAUCUCACGCCCUCUCGGCUCCGCCAGAAUCCUUUGACACAGGCUCCGGCCUCGCCCGUGGCCCUGGCAGCAUGCCCUGCCUCGCUCCCCCCGCCGCCCCGUGACUCACAAGACCCCCACACAGUUCCUUCAGCCCCUCUGGACGCCGCUAGGAGGUUCAGGGCCGGAAAUGGGAAAAGCCCUGCUUCUGCCAAUUGGCCUGUUCUCCUGUCCAGUGAAUGGGGACCUUCAGGGUGCCCUGCUCUUGGCUGCAACGUGCGACAGGAAGGUAAAGCAGCAACUGUGCCAAGAGCUGGAGGAGGGUGGAGGGUAAAGAAAGAAGGAAGUGUGCAACGGAUGAGCCGGCUCCUGACUGGAAGAUCUAUGGGGGGGCAUAUGCUGGGGCAAGGGGCAGCCACUGGAGGGGGCCAGUCCUGUCCCGCAAGGAGCUGGCCUCCCCCAACCAGCAGCCGGCGUCAGCUCCUGUCCUCUGCGGGCCAUCUGAUGCAGACCUGCAGGGUCAUCUUCCUCCUCUACUCUCUGCUCCAGGCCGUCACAGUCCCCUGUGUGAGCUCUGUCAUAGCUCAUCCUGCAGCCUCAUCCUCCCCCGCCCUGCUCCCCCCCCAACUCCCCCUGCACCUCUGA
rnacentral:lncRNA from 12 species